rnacentral:rRNA from 1 species
GGCGCACGGGUGCGUAACGCGUAUGCAACCUACCUCAUACUGGAGGAUACCCCUUGGAAACGAGGAAUAACACUCCAUAGUACUGUGAAACCGCAUGGUUUUAUAGUUAAAGGUUACGGUAUGAGAUGGGCAUGCGUCCCAUUAGCUAGUUGGUGAGGUAACGGCUCACCAAGGCGACGAUGGGUAGGGGGCCUGAGAGGGUGGUCCCCCACACUGGUACUGAGACACGGACCAGACUCCUACGGGAGGCAGCAGUGAGGAAUAUUGGUCAAUGGAGGCAACUCUGAACCAGCCAUGCCGCGUGAAGGAUGACGGCCCUAUGGGUUGUAAACUUCUUUUAUAGAGGAAGAAGCUUAACUACGUGUAGUUAACUGACGGUACUCUACGAAUAAGGAUCGGCUAACUCCGUGCCAGCAGCCGCGGUAAUACGGAGGAUCCAAGCGUUAUCCGGAUUCAUUGGGUUUAAAGGGUCC